rnacentral:rRNA from 1 species
GGACGAAAGUCUGACGCAGCAACGCCGCGUGCGGGAAGAAGGGCUUCGGCUCGUAAACCGCUUUUCUGUGGGAAGAGCAAGGACGGUACCGCAGGAAUAAGUCUCGGCUAACUACGUGCCAGCAGCCGCGGUAAAACGUAGGAGGCGAACGUUAUCCGGAUUUACUGGGCGUAAAGCGCGUGCAGGUGGUCUGUUAAGUCGUGCGUGAAAGCUCCCUGGCUCAACCGGGAGAGGUCGUGCGAUACUGACAGACUGGAGACAGAGAGAGGCAAGUAGAAUUCCGGGUGUAGUGGUGAAAUGCGUAGAUAUCCGGAGGAAUACCAGUGGCGAAGGCGGCUUGCUGGCUCUGUUCUGACACUCAGACGCGAAAGCAUGGGGAGCGAACGGGAUUAGAAACCCCGGUAGUCCAUGCCGUAAACGAUGUCAACUAGGCGUUGGAAACCUUGUGUUUGCAGUGCCGAAGCUAACGCGAUAAGUUGACCGCCUGGGGACUACGGCCGCAAGGCUA